rnacentral:rRNA from 1 species
AUUGAACGCUGGCGGCAUGCCUUACACAUGCAAGUCGAACGGCAGCACGGGUGCUUGCACCUGGUGGCGAGUGGCGAACGGGUGAGUAAUACAUCGGAACAUGUCCUGUAGUGGGGGAUAGCCCGGCGAAAGCCGGAUUAAUACCGCAUACGAUCUACGGAUGAAAGCGGGGGACCUUCGGGCCUCGCGCUGUUGGGUUGGCCGAUGGCUGAUUAGCUAGUUGGUGGGGUAAAGGCCUACCAAGGCGACGAUCAGUAGCUGGUCUGAGAGGACGACCAGCCACACUGGGACUGAGACACGGCCCAGACGCCUACGGGAGGCAGCAGUGGGGAAUUUUGGACAAUGGGCGAAAGCCUGAUCCAGCAAUGCCGCGUGUGUGAAGAAGGCCUUCGGGUUGUAAAGCACUUUUGUCCGGAAAGAAAUCCUUGGCCCUAAUACGGUCGGGGGAUGACGGUACCGGAAGAAUAAGCACCGGCUAACUACGUG